AGCGAACGCUGGCGGCAGGCUUAACACAUGCAAGUCGAGCGCCCCGCAAGGGGAGCGGCAGACGGGAGAGUAACACGUGGGAACAUACCUUUUGGUUCGGAACAACUGAGGGAAACUUCAGCUAAUACCGGAUAAGCCCUUACGGGGAAAGAUUUAUCGCCGAAAGAUUGGCCCGCGUCUGAUUAGCGAGUUGGUGAGGUAACGGCUCACCAAGGCGACGAUCAGUAGCUGGUCUGAGAGGAUGAUCAGCCUCACUGGGACUGAGACACGGCCCAGACUCCUACGGGAGGCAGCAGUGGGGAAUAUUGGACAAUGGGGGCAACCCUGAUCCAGCCAUGCCGCGUGAGUGAUGAAGGCCUUAGGGUUGUAAAGCUCUUUUGCCCGGGAAGAUAAUGACGGUACCGGGAGAAUAAGCCCCGGCUAACUUCGUG
rnacentral:rRNA from 1 species